AUUGAACGCUGGCGGCAGGCUUAACACAUGCAAGUCGAGCGGAGAUGAGGUGCUUGCACCUUAUCUUAGCGGCGGACGGGUGAGUAAUGCUUAGGAAUCUGCCUAUUAGUGGGGGACAACAUUCCGAAAGGAAUGCUAAUACCGCAUACGUCCUACGGGAGAAAGCAGGGGAUCUGCGGACCUUGCGCUAAUAGAUGAGCCUAAGUCGGAUUAGCUAGUUGGCGGGGUAAAGGCCUACCAAGGCGACGAUCUGUAGCGGGUCUGAGAGGAUGAUCCGCCACACUGGGACUGAGACACGGCCCCGACUCCUACGGGAGGCAGCAGUGGGGAAUAUUGGACAAUGGGGGGAACCCUGAUCCAGCCAUGCCGCGUGUGUGAAGAAGGCCUUAUGGUUGUAAAGCACUUUAAGCGAGGAGGAGGCUACUGAGACUAAUACUCUUGGAUAGUGGACGUUACUCGCAGAAUAAGCACCGGCUAACUCUGUGCCAGCCGCCGCAGUAACAC
rnacentral:rRNA from 1 species